GCUGUUACUUCAACAUGAAGUGUUUUGCUUGUUUCAAUUAAUCAAGAGUCUCUUGGAAGUUGCCAUAGCAGGGCAUUCAUUACAGGGAUGUUUAAUGAGUAGAAUAUUUGUCAUUUGCAUAGAGAGAGGCUUCAGCAGUGAUUCCAGUGAUCUGUGAUAGCCAGGUACUUAGGCACCCUGUAUAUCUAUUGGAUGAAGAAGGGGAGGCAGAUGGGACCAAUUUUUCGUGAUGUCUGACAUUAAAUUUCUGAUGUGGUCUUCCAGACAGAGAUUCAAAGAGGCUGGAAUCUACCUCUCCUGCUGACUGUGAAUGAGACUGCAGUAUACUUGGCUACAAGUCCAUCUGCUCUUUAACCUUUUUUUUUUUUUUAAAUCUAUCUAAGAGUGUUUUUCCUUUGAAGUUUCCAGCACCAUUUAUGAAGGCUCAAAAGGGAUAUUAUUCAUAUGUUUCAGAUGAAGAAAGCUGAACUGUCAAAGUAACAACUGGCUUGAGAAUAACCAGUAUUCUCCAAGGCAUUUCGAAGGACCUGGGAAAAGAUCCUGUGCUUACCAGGAAAUUUCACUGAUCUUAUCAAGCCCCAAAACACAGGAAGGAGAAAAACAUCUGCACAAAUGAAAAACCAUUGCUAUCUUGUUGAAAACCCCAGUGGUAAACAUUUUUCAUAAAAUGAGAGGUAUCUGCUUCUGUGGGAUUUUUUUUAGCAGUAAAAGAAUAGAUGGUGCAAGACAAGUGAAGAGGGAUUCCAUAAAUAAUUGCAUUUCAGUCACCUGUUUGGCAUCAUCUUAAUUGUUACAACAAAUAGCGCAAGACGACAAAAAAAUGAACAGCUUUCUACUCAGAAGAUAAACUGCUUUUAAAAAAGAAAGGAAUGAAACCCAGCUCCAUAAUUUUUCGAAUCCUAGUUAAUUAAAAUGGGCAUGACUGGAGAAGCAUAGAUGCCUGAGCAGCUUUCAAGACAUUUCUCUGGCAUGUUCCCACUGACUCUGAGACCUUAUUUCCAACCGCAGUAUCUGCUUACCCUAGUGCAGCACCUUCAAACCAACCUUCCCCAAAGGAUCCAGCAGACAUGGUCUGAGACUAGAGCUAAGCACAAGCUGGAACAACAGAGUCUCAGGAGGAAUCCCAGACAAAAAAUGCACUUGGGUGAAGACAUCUCAACUACAGCCACAUCUGCUCUACUCUGCCGUGGUGAGGCAGAGCAUCACAGGAAGAGGAACAAGAAUUCAUGGGAGACAAGUACUGAUGCAGAUGAAGGAGGAAGACAAGACUUGAUCAUCUCAGAAAGAGUGCAGUAAAAGUAAAGCUGUGAGACAACAAGAAACAAGCACAGUUGUGUUGUUAUGUAUAGAAGGCCAGAGUUCAGAGAGUCUGGUUUCUUGAGGAUGAUGUAU
rnacentral:lncRNA from 1 species